GCUCGGUGGCGUAGUUGGCUAGAGCGCGCGAUGAUGUGUGACUAGAAAUCACAGCUGCGGGUUCGAAUCUCACCAACGGCA